AACUAACGCUGGCGGCGUGCCUAACACAUGCAAGUCGUACGAGAAAGUUGGCUUCGGCCGAUGAGUAAAGUGGCGCACGGGUGAGUAAUGCGUGGAUAAUCUGCCCUUUAGUUGGGAAUAACGUACCGAAAGGUGCGCUAAUACCUGAUAAUACUGCAUAACUACUGUUGUGUAGUCAAAGAAGGCCUCUGUUUACAAGCUUUUGCUGAAGGAUGAGUCCGCGUACCAUUAGCUGGUUGGUGGGGUAAUGGCCUACCAAGGCUACGAUGGUUAGCUGGUCUGAGAGGAUGAUCAGCCACACUGGAACUGAGACACGGUCCAGACUCCUACGGGAGGCAGCAGUGAGGAAUCUUGCGCAAUGGGGGAAACCCUGACGCAGCAACGCCGCGUGAGUGAGGAAGGCCUUCGGUCGUAAAGCUCUGUCAGAUGGAAGAAUAGGAUGGGGCUAAGUAUCGCCCACUCCUUCGACGGUACCAUCAGAGGAAGACG
rnacentral:rRNA from 1 species